UACGGAGGGUGCAAGCGUUGUCCGGAUUUAUUGGGUUUAAAGGGUACGUAGGCGGGCGUCUAAGUCAGUGGUGAAAGCCUACAGCUCAACUGUGGAAUUGCCAUUGAUACUGGAUGCCUUGAGUAUAGUAGAGGUGGGCAGAAUUCAUGGUGUAGCGGUGAAAUGCAUAGAUACCAUGAGGAAUACCGAUAGGGAAGCCAGCUCACUGGACUAUUACUGACGCUAAGGUACGAAAGCGUGGGGAGCGAACAGG
rnacentral:rRNA from 1 species